AUUGAACGCUAGCGGGAUGCUUUACACAUGCAAGUCGAGCGAGCGGCGGACGGGUGAGUAAAGUAUGGGGACUGCCCGCUAGGGGGGGGUAACUAUUGGAAACGGUGGCUAAUACCGCGUAUUAUCGGAUAACCCAUAUGGGAUUAGCUAGUAGGGGAGGGAAUGGCUCACAUAGGCGAAGCUCCCUAGCUGGUCUGAGAGGAUGAUCGGCCACACUGGGACUGAGACACGGCCCAGACUCCUACGGAGGCAGCAGUGGGGAAUAUUGCACAAUGGGCGCAAGCCUGAUGCAGCCAUGCCGCGUGUAUGAAGAAGGCCCUAGGGUUGUAAAGUACUUUCAGUCGGGAGGCGUUACCGACAGAAGAAGCACCGGCUAACUCCGUGCCAGCAGCCGCGGUAAUUC
rnacentral:rRNA from 1 species